UACGUAGGGGGCAAGCGUUGUCCGGAUUCAUUGGGCGUAAAGAGCGCGUAGGCGGCCAGGUAGGUCGGUUGUGAAAACUGGAGGCUCAACCUUCAGAGGUCGACCGAAACCAUCUGGCUAGAGUCCGGGAGAGGAGAGUGGAAUUCCUGGUGUAGCGGUGAAAUGCGCAGAUAUCAGGAAGAACACCCGUGGCGAAAGCGGCUCUCUGGAACGGUACUGACGCUGAGGCGCGAAAGCGUGGGGAGCAAACAGG
rnacentral:rRNA from 1 species